rnacentral:tRNA from 1 species
GGGGUUGUGGCUCAGUGAGAGAGCGCUUGCCUCUCACACGUGAGGCACUGGGUUCCAUCCCCAGCACCACUUCA